CUUAUCACAUUUAGAUUUUUUGUCUGUUUGGAAUUUAUUUUCUGUGUGAGAUGUGGUGGGAUCUACCUUUAUUUUCCCUGGUGUACCAUUUGUUUAUAAUUAGUAUUGCUGUUUGGUGGGGCAAAUUUUUCAUAUCCUUUUAAAAAAUUGCCCUGGCUCUUUUUUGUCUGUUAUUCUUUCUUGUGAAUUUUAGGAUGAGUUCAUGGGUAAACUUUGUUGGACUUUGGGUCAGAAUUGUGUUGAAUCUAAAUUAAGUUGGAGAGAAUUGUUAUGAUGAUGAUAUGUAGCAUUGCUAUCUACGAACAUUGCCUAUGUGUCUGUUCAACUGAGUCUUUUAUAUUCUUAAUAAAGAUAUAAAAUUUCUCCA